GCUCACUUACUGACCUCACAGUGGUCUCCCCAGCAUCUGCCACUCACUGAGCUUCCUAGGCAAGAGCUUGGGACACAGAAGGGAGCCUGAGAGACCCCCUUCUCUGGGAGGCAGAUGAUGAUCGACUCAGCACCAUGUAUCUGUGCUAGACCAAGGUGUAGAGAAGAGGUUGACCAGGCAUGGGGGAGGGAAGGAUUACUUUUCCUAAGCUCUGAGAGCUUGUUCUGUGCAGGAAUGCAGUCCCAGAAUGGAGCCCUGCGAGGAGAACUCUGAGCACUAGGGAGAAAACGCCAAGAAAACAAGAGUCUUGUGACGUCAGCUUCUUCAAAACACUCUGUUUUGGAAAGUGUUGGUGUGCCCCUCCCAGGUGUAGCGAGUAGGAAUGAAUGUACUUCAGCUGUUGAAACUCAUGUGUCUCUAGGAAAUCAUGUUUGUGCCGGGAGCAGCCUGUCCUUGUGACUGUACACUUCACUCAGGUGACUCGUCCUUAUCCUGAGUAAACUGUCCGAUGCUCUGGAUAAAGUUGGCUACUGCACAAGA